GACGAACGCUGGCGGCGUGCUUAACACAUGCAAGUCGAACGGAAAGGCCCUGCUUUUGUGGGGUGCUCGAGUGGCGAACGGGUGAGUAACACGUGAGUAACCUGCCCUUGACUUUGGGAUAACUUCAGGAAACUGGGGCUAAUACCGGAUAGGAGCUCCUGCUGCAUGGUGGGGGUUGGAAAGUUUCGGCGGUUGGGGAUGGACUCGCGGCUUAUCAGCUUGUUGGUGGGGUAGUGGCUUACCAAGGCUUUGACGGGUAGCCGGCCUGAGAGGGUGACCGGCCACAUUGGGACUGAGAUACGGCCCAGACUCCUACGGGAGGCAGAAGUGGGGAAUAUGGCACAGUGGGCGGAAGCCUGAUGCAGCAACGCCGCGUGCGGGAUGACGGCCUUCGGGUUGUAAACCGCUUUCGCCUGUGACGAAGCGUGAGUGACGGUAAUGGGUAAAGAAGCACCGGCUAACUACGUG
rnacentral:rRNA from 1 species